rnacentral:lncRNA from 1 species
UGCACCCCCACAAGGUUGCACAAAGACAAAACUGUCCCUAUAAAAAACUGUAUAUUUAUUUUUUUUAGUAUCCCAGAUUAUGAAAUUCGGUAAAUUUUUGUAUUGGCGCUUCCGGUAAAAUUUCAGAUUGGCGCAUCCGAUAAUCUUUCAGAUUGGUGCUUCCGGUAGUACAUGAAUGACAGUGUUAAUUCAAAGUAAAAAAAUGUAAAACAUCCAUAAUUGAAAAAACCAUUCUGGAUCUGCCAAUCCAUAAUUCAAAAUAUGCAUUCUGGAUUCAGAAAUCAAUAAGUGAAAAAAAUCAUUCUGGAUCCACCAAUCCAUAAUAGAAAUUAGGCUUCCGGAUUCAGUAAUCCGAAAAUCAACAAUUUAUGCAAACUUUGCUUCUGGAACACCCCCUCAUCCGGAAAGCAACAUGAUUCACUUAAUCCGUAGCACACUCCCAAAUCCCAAAUUCAAAUAACAGGUGAAGGUUAGUUUUGAAAUUUACAAAAUUGUGGGGUGUAGAAAGAAAAAUGUAGGGGUGCAGGAAGAAACUUCCCUUAUGUGUUAGAGGCAAGCCUUGUCUAUAGAAGGCCCAAGUUGAAAACACAGAAGGGUGUUUCUUGCUAUAUUGCUAUUGGCACCCCUUUAUUACUAUUUAAAAUCUCCAUCUCUUUGAUUUUAUUUGUUUGAUAAAAAUAUUUACAGAAAGAAGUUUUUACUGUGUUGUUUUUUUUUAAGAAAAUUUAAUAUAACAUAAAUAAGUUUUCUUCUGUAUUAUUUUUUCAAAAAAAAUAACACAAUGGCCAGUGUUAACAUAAUGAAAAUAAGUUUCCGUUGUGUUAUGUUUUUUUUAAAAAAAAAAUUAACUCAAUGGUUCUGUUGUGCUAAACCAAUGCUUUUUCUGAAAGAGAAUUGAAAAAAUUAACACAAAAUUUUGUUGCUAUAAUGGUAUGUUUAACAAAAGGAAUAGAUAUCGAAAACUUGCUUCUAUGGGAUUGAUUUUUUCAAAAGAAAUUUAACAUGUUGAAAAAAAAUUUCUUGUUAUGUUUUUUUAAAUACCAUUCCACUAAGAGUUACACUAUUACUAAUGAAUAUAAGAUAAAUUAAUAUAAUGUACUAUUUAUAUUAUCUUUUUAUAAAUCUUUCAAAAAAAAAAAUAUCUCUUCACAAUAAUCAUAUCAUACUCAAAGAAAAUGAAAAUAAAUAAAACAUAAACAUAAAAUCAUUUUCUAUCUCGUCAUUUUAUCUAUGCUCAGAUUAUUUUUUCGCAAUAUCAUUUUUUUCCUAUUUAACACAUGAUCAUCAUAGUUGAUAAACAAUAUACAAACGCACAAAACAAAGUAAGCUAAUAUUUUUCUUUAAAUCUCACAUACAUGCAUAUAUUGAAACCAUAUAAAUAUAUUUAUACAUAUAUAAUUUAUUCACAUCUCAUCCAUAUACUUUCAUGGAUACAUAAUCAAUUCAUUCAUUAAAUAUAUAUCAUAAUCAAAUAUUUAACUCUCAGUCCAUUGAUUACCUUUCAUGUCAUAAGUUUCUGAAAUCAACAUUACAAACACUUGAAUCUACUAUUAGAAGACAACUUGUUGAAUUAGACUCAUAUAUAUGCACAAGUGAUAUUAACUUCACUAAGUGAUAUCAUUCAUCCUAUUAUUAUAAUAUUCAAGCAUAAUAUGUUGUUAAAGUACAACAAUAUAGUGUAAUAUACAUAUAUUUUAACAUUUAGAAACAUGUUUUUCAAACUUUAGAAAACAAUAUAUCGCUUGACUUUUACUUUGUUUGCCCAACAAAUUAAGCAUUAUAUUAUUAUUCACUUCUCACUCAACCAAAAGUGUCAACUUGCCCAACAAAUUUUGGUUGCCCAACGAAAACUUUGCUUUCUCAACAAUCAAAGUAUUCACUCAAACUAUACAAUUUUGUAUCUCAAUCACUUUCAACUCUUUAAUAUCUCAAGCAUACCAUACAUAUUUAGCUAAUUUUUUUCUACAAGAAACAUUUAAUCAUUUUAUAUAACAUUCAUUUCCAAAUUCAAAUAAUUAAAAUAUAUUAAAACAACACAAAAUACACGUGUAAAAAUCAAAAUAUUAUAACCACGUCACUUUCACAUGUAGAUCAUUUACCCCCAAGUUUCCCUACAUGUCAAGACUUGUUUAUUGAGUCUUAAACUUCUAACCUUUUUAUCCUUAUAGGAAAGAUAAAACUUAUAAAAAAAAAACUCUAUUCAACACUUUUAAAUACACCUACACUUCUAGAUUGACAGAAAUCUACCGUUUGUUCCAUAAACAACACUUGCACAACACAAAAACCCUAAACAUGCAAAUUUUUCCAAAAAUCAACUCAAUAAACGGGCAAAAAGAAAUUUACUCAAAAAUAAUUUAUGAUCGGAGAUAAAUGUGUUACUCUUCAUCAAGAUUUCUAUGGUGAACUCUGAUCUAAGAAAAAAUAAACAAAUCUUUCAAAAUUCCAAAAAAAAAAAAGAAAGAAGAAAAAUGUUUUAAAUAGAUAAUGAUUUUUGUGAAAUAAAGUUUGAAUAAUAAUUUAUUUUUUUUUAUAAAUUUUUUUAGCUGAAAUAAUAAAGUAUUCUUAUUUCAUCUUCAUUAAACCACUCCUCCUCUUAAACCCAUUAACUAGUCAUCACAUUUUUAUUUCAAUAAAGUAAUACAAAGAAAAAAUGUUUCAUUUUUUUUCAAAAAGAUAAGUUACUUAUUCAAUAAAAACAUGUUUACGUCGUUAGUGUUUUUAACUAAAUGCCAAAAGUUUGACUUUUCACUUUGAUUGGGAGUUUGAAUAGUAACUUGGGGUUGCCAAUGGCAGGGGUUGUUUCUUAGGUGCAGUGCCUUGCUCUGGAGUGGGCUUUCGAUCUGGGCUGCAGGGCCUUAUUUUUGGUCUGCAAACACUUCCAAAAGAAAAAAAAACUCAAUAACAAAUUAACAAUUUGAACCGAAAGAAAAGUCAACAAAAAAUAAUUACUCUAAAUUGAGUUUGUCUUAUUUUAAGUAGGCAAUUGCUUUCUGCACCCGAUCAAUUGUGACUGGCACCCGACAUAUUUUUUAAAAUCCUACUAUGUCUUUGUCUUCUUCACUUUUGAAAACAUUGAAUGGUGAGGAAGAGGAAGUUCAUGGAUGUUUGAAGCUUUGCUUUGAGCUGCAAAAGAGGAGGUUGUGCUUCGUUCAUUGUUGCUAAGUUGAGUGUAAGCUUCGUUUGCCAAGUUAAUGAGGUAAGUAAUCCAUUUUCGUUCGUUUCUGGUUUUUGUUCGAGGUCAGCUGGUCCCGAAUAUCAGAAUCCGGAAUUCUGUUUUUUUGCUUAUGGAUAUUAAUAUCUGGAAGUCAAAAUUUUCAAUACGGAUAUUAAUAUCCGGAACUGUGGAUCGUUGCUUCUAGACGCUGAUAUCCGUAGUUCAUCAUUGCCUUACGGAUGUACAUAUCUGGAACUAGUUUAUGCAAUCCGGAUAUAUAUAUCCGGAAGCUAACUGUUGAUAUUUUUUUGGUUAUGGAUUUAUUUAUCCGGAAGCUAAGUGUUCAUUUUUUUCAACAGCCGAAUGGAUACAACAGAGUCAUACAUGGGAGUUUUAGGGGAGAUUGAUAGGUGGGAUGGAUUAGAUGAUGUUGAUCUGGAGUAGUCAAUAAGUUAUAACGCAUUAGAUAAUGAACAAAGGGCACAUGAAUGUAAUGAGGCCAAAUGAGGUAUGGUCAAUGUUGGGUUGUGAAUGUUUUUUUUAUGAAUUAUUUUUAAAUUUGACAUAUGUUAUUGUAGGUAUUUCGUGAUCGAGAUGAGCUGUUAGAGUGGGCGAGAAGUGUUGGCUAUAAUUAUGGGUUUGUUAUUGUUAUAUUAAGGUCAGAUACAUGGACGAGCCAACGAGGAAGGAUGACAUAUGUAUUGUUAGGUUAUGAGAGAGGAGGUAAAUACAAACGGUAUAAAAAAGAAGUAGAUGUCAGUCGAACUGGAAGUAGGAAGUGUGAGUGUCCUUUCAGAUUGCGAGGCAAACCAGUCAAAGGUGGUCAAGGGUGGAUGGUUGAAUUAAUUUGUGGUUCUCACAAUCAUGACUUGGCAGAGACAAUGGUGGGUCAUCCAUAUGCUGGAAGGUUAAGUAUAGAGGAAAAGGUUAUGGUUGAGGAUAUGACUAAAACUUCUGUGAAGCCAAGAAAUAUUUUACUAACCAUGAAAGAGAGAAAUGAGAAGAAUGUGACAACAAUUAAGCAGGUUUAUAAUGCAAUCACUGUUCACCGAAGAUCACAACGAGGUCACAGAACAGAAAUGCAACAACUGAUGUUGUUACUAUAGCGAGACAGGUACGUGCAUUGGUGUAGGUGUGACGAGGUCUCUAAUAUUGUGCAAGAUAUAUUUUGGACACACCCAGAUUCAGUAAAAUUGGUGAACUCAUUUAAUAUUGUCAUAUUAAUAGAUAGUACGUACAAGACGAACAAGUAUAGGAUGCCGUUACUUGAGGUUGUUGGGAUUACGUCUACAUGUUUGAUUUUCUCCGUUGCAUUUUGUUUACUAGCAGCAGAAAAGGAAAAUAAUUUUUUUUGGGCCCUUGACAGACUUAAAGGGUUGUUUUUAAGAGUUGAUUCAUGCCCUAGGGUGGUGGUAUGUGAUAGAGAUGUUGCCUUAAUGAAUGCAAUUAGAAUGGUGUUUCCUGAAGCUUAUAAUUUGCUCUGUCAGUUUCACAUUGAUAAAAAUGUGAAAGCAAAAUGUAAAAUGUUGGUGCAUCCAAGAGAGGCAUGGGAUCAAGCAAUGGAAGUGUGGGGAUUUGUUGUGGAUUGUGAUACAAAAAUUUAUUUUUCAUUACUUACCAAACCAUUCCAUAACUGUUUGGCUACAUGAUGUUCAUAAUUAACAAGUAAGGACUUAUCCAAUGGUCCUCCUGGAUAGCCUUCAUCAUCAACUUCAACUUCUUCUUGUUCAAUAUAAUCUUCAAACUGUUCAUUUGGAAUUGAAGUACUAGGCCCACCCCGUUUUCUUCUAACCGAUGCAGUUGGACACACACGAUCCAAAUUAGAACUUCCUCCACCUCUAGUCUGCACCAUCUUACAUUUCAUAAAAGUAACAUUCAAUCCAAUAUAUAUAAAAAAAUUAUAACACAUAUAGUCUAAAACAGUUGUGAAAAAUUUCACACUAAUACGGAUAUUAAUAUCCGUAGAACAACAACAACAUUCCGGAUAAAAAUAUCCACAAGUCAAAUGUAUCUUAUGGAUAAAAAUAUCCGGAACCCAUUAUUGAAUUACGAACAAAAAUAUCCGGAAUUUAUUAUUGAACUACGGACAAAAAUAUCCGCAAGCCACUAUUCAAGUGCGGACAAAAAUAUCUGGAAGCCAAUAUUCAAGUGCAGAUAAAAUAAUCCAGAAGCAACUGGUGAAGUGCGGAUAUAAAUAUCCAGAAGCCAAUAUUGAUCUGCGGAUAAAAUUAUCCAGAAGUCACUAUUCUAUGGAUAAAAAACAGCGAUGAAGGGUACCUUGACUUCUUCGACGAUGAAGCUCACUCACGGUGAAGCAAACGAACACUACGAAGGUGGCUGACGGUGUUGAACGGUGGCUGACGGUGUCUCCCUGCAACUUCACGGUAACGACCCUAUUUGUUGGGUGCUUACAUUGGGUGCAGAUCACAAUUCAUGUGUUUCUUAAUUUCAUUAAGGGUAAUAUGAUCUUUUCAUAAAUCCGAUUAGGUGCCAGUCAAAAAGCAUCGGGUGCAGGAAGAAUCUGCCUUUUAAGUAUAUCAUAAUUUUGGCUCACUGAACCAAUAAAUAAACUCAUGGGUUUGAACUUUCCAUGUCUUGCAUGCACUAAAGUAUGCUUGUUAAAUUUUUUUUUAGAAAAAAAAAAUUUUAUACAACCGUAUUUAAAGGAUAAUCUUUUUUUCGAUGGUUCAUAACUGUGAAUAAGGUCAUUUGGUAUUAUUUAUUUUGCUAUUUUUAUUUAAUUUCUUUUAAUAUUUAUAGACGGUCUAGAUUAUCUUACAAAAUUUAUAUCCUCUAUUUGCGACUUAUAUACUCACUUAAAAUUUAAAAUUUAUUGUACAACUCAAAUUUGAAAAGUGUAAAACAGUGAAAGAAAAUGGAGCAAAUAAAUCAACAAAAUUGGAUUGGGAUGAAAGAAUUUUUGUAUGUUAAAUGACUUCGGAGAAGACAACAAGAUUGGAUUGAGACUUGAACAAUUUAUAUAUUUAUGUUAACUAUUUUUUUUUAUGUUUUGUUUAUUUUUGUUUAUUAUGUUUAGUUUUUGAUGUUUAUUUCUUUUAUAUUCACACUUUUAUAUUGAUAUAUUAAUAUACAUUCUAUUUUUACUUUGUAAUUUAUACUAUAUAUGCUAAUUAAAUUUAGAAACAUCACUUUCUCACCUUGUAUAUAUAAAAGUUCAGUUAAACUAGUUAUCUUUCUUUAUAUAAAUUAAAAAUUAAUAUAUUUUUAGCAAAUAUCUCAAAUAUGUAAUUUAAAAAUAAUUAGUUUUUAAAUUUAAUAAAUAAGUAACAGUGGAGAGUUGGGUUAAAAAACUAGUAAAUUAGCAAUUUGAACCGAAAGAAAAGGCAACAAAAAAUAGUUACUCUAAAUUUUGGCUCUCUAAACCAAUAAAUAAGCUCAUGGGUUUGAACUUUGCAUGUCUUGCAUGCACUAAGUAUACUUGUUAAACUUUUUUUUAGAAAAAAAAUGUUUUUUAAUAAAAUAAUCACUUAUCAUGUUUGGAUAAACUUAUUUAAAAAAAAAACAGUUUUCUGUUUUUUUCAGAAAAAGUUAUUUCUCAUAAAAAAAUGUUUUUUUAAUAAAUAAUCACUUAAAAUGUUUGGAUAAAUUUAUUUAAAAAAGAUCAGAAACAGUUCUGUUUAUUUUUGAAAUAGUUAUUUCUCAUUAAAAAUAUAUACGGUAGAAGAGAACCUUUUAGUUAAAAACUAUAUUUUUUUACCCUAAACAAACAAAUAUCAAUAUUUACUAAGAAUCACUUAAAAAAAGUUACUUUUUUAACAAUAUUUUUUUUAACAAAAAUCAACCUGAUUCUGCUUCAAGUAUCCACCAUGAUUUUGCUUCCUAAUAUCACCGAUUUAUGGGUUGAAGGAUGAGACUGAAUUAAUAAUUACACAUGAAAAAUCAUUUCUCAUGUCAUGAUUAGCUUACAUCAGAUUCUUGAGAGUAUACUAGCUGAAACAUGUCUCUGCAACUAUUUAUUGGCAAGAAACUGUAGUAUUUAUUGUGAAUUUAACUUAUCGUUAAGUUAAUGAUUUUUACCAUAUAAUUUCCUUGUAUAAUUUAUUUUUUUUGCUUUUGUUGUGAUUAUUAUAUUUUUGUCAAAUGAUGUCUGUAUCAGAACUAACUUAAGAUAUACAUGACUGAUCUACAACCUUUGAAUACCAACAUUGACUGAUAUGUUUCUAUGAUUUAGUCCAAAAUAUUAGAAAAAUUAUACAGUGUUCCUUCAAAAGUCCCAGUGAACAAUGGAUUAUCUUGGCAUUCAAGCAGAGAACCUCAUUGGCUAUGCCUCAUUUGAAAUAACUCAAGCACUAUAAAUUAUAAGUUUGAAAUUAAGAAUUUGUUUCUAGUUAGUGUUUUGUGGAAUGAUUUUAUUUAAUUAGACAAAGAAAAAUUGGAAGAAAAUCAUUUUUGUAAAGUUCAGAUUGAGGGCAGGCUCUACAAAUGAUGAGUAAGUUGAGUUCCAAGGAACAAAGCAAGAUGCCUUAAAAUAUCUCAGUGAUAUGUAUUGUACAUUAAGAUUGGGGGAAAACAUGAAGAUGAGUGAUUUAGAGAGUUGGAGUUCUCUCAGCUGUUCCAGCAAUGACUGUGAGCAAGUUGUUGCCAAAUGGGUCACUGAGAUGCUUUGCAAGGUUCUCAACAGGACCUUCUCCAGUGACAUAGGCUUGGAUGAAGAAACCAAGCAUGGAAAACAUAGCAAGUCUACCAUUCUUGAUUUCCUUCACCUUUAGCAGUGCAGCUUGAUCUGGAUCGUUUGCAAGCCCCAAUGGAUCAAAUGGACCACCUGGAUGAAGUUUGUCUUCGAAAUUCUGCUCAAAAUAGGUCACAAUUUGGUGAAUCAAAUGAUUAAGCACUGUCUUUGGGAGACUGUUCAUGCUCCACAAACUUGAUUUUGAAAGUGUUGAUUGUGAUUGUGGAAAAAAGUUAUGUAGUUUGUUUCCUAUGAUCAAGGUUGUUAAAAGACAUUCAUGUAACUGUGAAAAUAUGUAGCUUGGUGUUGGGAUGAGAAUUUUAUACUAAACUUUACUUCAAACUUGCUUUAGAGAUGAAGUUUCUAAACAUAACUCUGCUUCAAACUCAAUUUCACAUAAAAUCAAUAUCAUUGAAAAUUAAGUUUGCAAACAUAUAUCCAAGCCCACACUUCAAAAAGUUUUGUUACAAUUUUAUGAACAUAGUGCUUAUGUGCAUUGCUAAUUCAAAUAGUUCGCAAAAAUAACAGUAAUAAGAUAGUUCAGUUGACUAAAUAGUAACCUUCUUGUUGUAAUAAUCCUUAUGUUACAAACAAAGAUUAAGAAAAAAUGCAAUGACAAAUACUGCAGUAAAUAUUCAGAUUGAGAAAUCUACAUACCAGGCCAUUAGUAAUUCUGUAGUACUCUGCACCUCCCACAAGAACUACCUCAGCAACGACAGCCAGAAUAAGAUUGAUGGGAAUGGGUUUCCCAAAGUAGUUCAACGUACCCCCAUCAAGAAGCAGAGCUCCAGUCUGCACCAAUUCCAUAAAGAAUAUUGAUUUUGGCUUAGUGUAAGCAAUAUAUGCAAUCACAAAAAGAUUGGUAAUAGCUAAAUUGAAAGGUAGAGAAUAACUCUAGUGAAAAAAGAGAGUAAAUUAUUAGCACAAUUGUCAGGAUUUAAAGGCAUGGUUAAAAAUGAGCACUAAAAUUGAAUGAGAUGGGUAAAACACAAGGGAAAAGAACAUUUUUUUUCAAGUCUAUGUUAAAUUUACACCAGAAUUGUCAUUUACACAAAAUGGAAUUAAACUUUUGAACUCGAGUUUCAAAAUUUGGUUUGAACAGGAGUCUACUAGAGUUAUUUUGCACAAAGAAGAGAAACUGAUAGAGUCAUGCAAUAGUACUUGUAAGGUCUAUUAAAUUCCAUUUGUUUUGUCAUAAAAAACAAUGUAUUAUUGAACUUGAAAUAGUGACAGUUGCUAUAGAGCUUGCAAACCUU